CCUACGGGAGGCAGCAGUGAGGAAUAUUGGUCAAUGGGCGCGAGCCUGAACCAGCCAAGUAGCGUGAAGGAUGACUGCCCUACGGGUUGUAAACUUCUUUUAUAAAGGAAUAAAGUGAGGCACGUGAGCCUUUUUGUAUGUACUUUAUGAAUAAGGACCGGCUAACUCCGUGCCAGCCGCCGCGGUACUAAGGAGGGUCCGAGCGUUAGCCGGAUUUAUUGGGUUUAAAGGGAGCGUAGGUGGUUUGUUAAGCCAGUUGUGAAAGUUUGCGGCUCAACCGUAAAAGUGCAGUUGAAACUGGCAGUCUUGAGUACAGUAGAGGUGAGCGGAAUUCGUGGUGUAGCGGUGAAAUGCUUAGAUAUCACGAAGAACUCCGAGUGCGAAGGCAGUUCACUGGACUGCAACUGACACUGAGGCUCGAAAGUGUGGGUAUCAAACAGGAUUAGAUACCCCGGUAGUC
rnacentral:rRNA from 1 species